rnacentral:rRNA from 1 species
GGUGAAAACCAGGCUAAUACCGCAUACGCCCUACGGGGGAAAGCGGGGGAUCUUCGGACCUCGCGCUAUCAGAUGAGCCUGCGUCGGAUUAGCUAGUUGGUAAGGUAAUGGCUUACCAAGGCGACGAUCCGUAGCUGGUUUGAGAGAACGACCACCCACAUUGGGACUGAGAUACGGCCCAGACUCCCACGGGAGGCAGCAGUGGGGGGAAUAUUGCGCAAUGGGCGAAAGCCUGACGCAGCGACGCCGCGUGGGUGAAGAAGCCUUACGGGGUGUAAAGCUCUUUUACACAGGAAGAAAGACUGGGUGGCCCCCAGCUUGACGGUACUGUGUGAAUAAGCUCCGGCUAACUACGUGCCAGCAGCCGCGGUAAUACGUAGGGGGCAAGCGUUGUCCGGAAUUACUGGGUAUAAAGGGCGUGUAGGCGGCCAGAUAAGUUGGAUGUGAAAUGUUACGGCUCAACCGUAGACUGCCCAUUCAAAACUGUCUGGCUUGAGUUCAGUAGGGGGUGGUGGAAUUCCUGGUGUAGCGGUGAAAUGCGUAGAUAUCAGGAAGAACACCGGAGGCGAAGGCGGCCAUGGGCUGACACUGACGCUGAGGCGCGAAAGCGUGGGGAGCAAACAGGAUUAGAUACCCUGGUAGUCCACGCUGUAAACGAUGGGCAUCAUGCUGGUGU